AGUGAACGCUGGCGGUAGGCCUAACACAUGCAAGUCGAACGGCAGCACAGUAAGAGCUUGCUCUUACGGGUGGCGAGUGGCGGACGGGUGAGGAAUACAUCGGAAUCUACUUUUUCGUGGGGGAUAACGUAGGGAAACUUACGCUAAUACCGCAUACGACCUACGGGUGAAAGCAGGGGAUCUUCGGACCUUGCGCGAUUGAAUGAGCCGAUGUCGGAUUAGCUAGUUGGCGGGGUAAAGGCCCACCAAGGCGACGAUCCGUAGCUGGUCUGAGAGGAUGAUCAGCCACACUGGAACUGAGACACGGUCCAGACUCCUACGGGAGGCAGCAGUGGGGAAUAUUGGACAAAGGGCGCAAGCCUGAUCCAGCAAUACUGCGUGAGUGAAGAAGGCCUUCGGGUUGUAAAGCCCUUUUGUUGGGAAAGAAAAGCAGUAGGUUAAUACCCCGCUGUUCUGACGGUACCCAAAGAAUAAGCACCGGCUAACUUCGUG
rnacentral:rRNA from 1 species